AGACUUGAUGUUGUCACUGAUGGCGAUGCCGUUCUGGUGGAAUCUGAGGAGAACACCGAUCAAAGAUGGUCCCAGGUUGGGUCCAGCUGCAGUUCAUCUUUGAGGACAUUCCCACCACGGAGUGACUGACCAGUUGAAAGGGAUACAUUUACUCUGACUCAAAAUGAUUUAAAUCAUGGAGGAAGGGAGAGGCAUAUUGUCGGGGACUGAUUCCUUCUGUCAUUUCCUCCAUAUGGUUUAUCAGUGCCAGAUAAAUCACUGUGACAGCCAAACAGAAGCCAGGAAGGCCCCCAGGAGAAUUUAGCAGUACGUCCAACCGGCCUCACAACCGCAGACCACGUGUAACCAUGCCAGCCCAGGGCCUCCACAUCCGGCUUCUUCACCUGCGCGAUUGUCUGACACCAGCCACCCGGACAGCUGAUGAAACUGAGUAGUAUUUCUGUCUGUAAUAAAGCCCUUUUGUUGGGAAAAACUAAUUCUGGUGGACCUGGCUCCCAAGUGGGUGGGCCUUUGCGCUUCAAGGCCCACCCAUGGCUGAUAUCCUGCCUAGUCAUUUUAUAUCGAUAGAUUAAGGCC
ensembl:lncRNA